UCAAAAUCUUCAAUCAAAUCUGCAAAAUCAAGUUUGUCCAAAAUAUCCUUCUCGAUGCACAUGGUUGCUAACGCAUUUAACAUUUCUUGUGUUAUAGUCAACCACAAGUAAUUUUGUAACAAUUUCAACUUUAUUUUUUUUAACAGAUGCCACCAUCACAGGAAUAGUUGUAGCGCCCCCAAAUCUGGGUACCUUUUACCUCGGACCUGGUACGUUACGAUACAUCAUUUCUAUAACUAAUGCGGAAGAUAUAAACAUAAAUUGUUUAUACAGUAAACUUUUACACAUAAUCCCCAAAGUCUGUAACCUUAACUUAAUACAUGCAUUCAGUAUUCUACACGAUUUACAAUGUCAUUCGCAUCCGAAAAUUUAAUAAUUCUAACUACAUAAUAAUCCAAUUCUGGAAUUUGCCUUUGUCUUUGUCUUUAUUCAAGCCUUCGUCUUAAUCUGAAAAUUUUAUCAUGAUAUAGCAAGGGUGAGCAACUAUUUUGCCCGUCAUAUUUAAGUACAAAUGAAGAUAUAUCAUGAUUGAAAAGGAAUAAGCUUUCAAGUUUUCAACAAUAUAAUGGUUGUGAAAGAACAUGAAUCAAAUUUCAAUACAUGGAUGAUUGAAUUAAUAAUGCUGAGUGGUCAACAACGACCAUGAACAAAUACUUUGAUAAUGAAGGUGAUCAGCCUUUCAUACCUGAUAAACAUAUGCAAUGUGCACUAAGUGCGAAUCAAUAAUCAUGGAUGUGGAAUAAUUGUUAAUAAUUAUACCACUAGCAUUCUGGAAAAUUAUUAACUCUAGUUUGAGUUAGAAAACUUGCAUGUACCGUUGAUUACCGCUAUGCAAUCUAAUUUAAUCUCUUAUGAAAGACCUAUCAUUAAUAAUAUCGAUCCUCCAAUUAGCAUAAUACAUUUUAUCUGACAACACUAUUACUCAAAUAAUAAAUUAGCUAACAUUUAGCCACAUAAUUAAACAUUGAAUAAUUCUUUAACUCAUUAGUAAUAUUAUUAUCUCUUAAUAAUAUUACUAUCACUUAACCAUUAUCUUAAACUUUUGUCUAAUAUUUUUAAUCAUUUAAUAGAAUAUUUAUCAUUCACAAAUAUUAUUAAUCAUUUAAUAAUAUUUAAAUCCUUUAUUAAUAUUAUUAAUCAUUUAAUAAUAUUUUAAUCACCUUCUAAUAUUAUUAAUCAUGUAAUAAUAUUUUACUUGUUUCAUAAAUAAUAAAGGUCUCACACAUUUUAAGAUGCAAAUAUUUUACAUCUUGAAGCUUAAACCAUUUAAAUUUCAUUUCAGAAAUAUCUUUUACCUUUACUCGCAAAUUAUGCAUAACUUUUAUAGUAAAACUCAAUUUACUAUAUUAUUUCUUUAAUUUAAAUAGAUUUUAUAUCGGUCUGUCCGUUCAUGCGUCAACACUGACUGUUGCCUCAUACAGAAAUAUUUUAUCUCGCUAACACAUUCGCUUUAUUUUUUAUUUUACGAUUAUUCGCAUAUUCGUUUCAUAUAUAUAUAUAUAUAUAUAUAUAUAUAUAUAUAUAUUACGUUACAUAAAUCUUAGCUCAAAAACUUCAUUUUGAGCACGAAAAACCUCAAAAUAUCAUUUUUAUGAUUAAUACAAUUUUUCAAAGGUUUUACAUUCUUUGUUGCACUACAAACUAAUUUUAUAGGCAACUAUAUUUUUUUAUUUCGCUUAAAUAUGUAAUUUAUAUUUAUUACAUAUUUUUAUUGCUUUAUUUAUGCCUGAAAGAAAGUUUCUCGGCAUAAAAUAUCACUUAUAGUCAAAUCUCGUCCGUUAGGACUUUAUUAGAUUUAUUAUGACUUAUUAUUUUGCCGGAACGCGAUUCGGAACGUCAAAGUUGCUCGACUCACCGACGCCCGGCGUUCGCUCGUUUACAAGUUCUGACAUACCUAUUCGAUCAUUUUUAAUUCUCAAAUCAUGAGUUAUAUAACAGCAAAAUUUUGGGCGUAUUAUAGACCUCAUGGCAUAGUAUUUUAAAAAAUUUUCACACCGCGAAAAUGGAUCACGGAAACUAAUCAAAACAAUGCACGAAAAGGACGUCAAACAACAGCACAGCACGGCGCCGUGCGGCUGGGCAUGCGUGAACGGGCGCUGCCUGGCUACUGCUGUUGCCCAGCCGCGCGCUUAACAAACUAGCUACUUCACGAUUUUCUCACGCAUUACUCAUAACUCCGAUUAAUCUGAUUUUUGGAUAUGUUAUACAUGGCGUACCAAAGUAUUUUUAAACAAUAUCACCCAGUAAUUUCGGACCUCUUAGGCAGCCUAAAACAGGCCCCAAAAAUGUCCACUCGCAACAGUUUUCAUCUUUUUCCCAGAUUUACCCGCUUUCGCUAAAACAGUCAUAACUCUUUCGUUUUAAAACAUUUUUAGGCGAUUCUUAAGCCCACGCGAAGCUAACUUCCGGGACUACAACUCUUCCCUACUGACAUUUUUUCAGAUUCCGAACAUAUAAACCCAGAAAUUCGUACAAAGGGACUAAACCAAAAUGAGUUUUCCAGUUUUGACUUGGCUACUUUAAAAUGGCACUCUUUACUCCAAAGUCGAAAUUAGUCAAUUCCGGAAUCUAUGGAAAGCUUAUUCAGUAUACUACAACAUACCAAAAGCCCGAAAUUUUUAGGGCACUAGCUAACCCCGAAUUUUUUGUUUAGGGACAGCAGUCACAAGCUUUUCUAAGCUUUAUAAAAACUGUUUUACUUUUCUUUCUUUGGAACAAACUUUUAAUACCUAAAAUGGUUAGAUCUACAUAUAACACACCAUAAAACAUGUAGUUCUAAAGUUUUAGAGUUCAAGAACAUAGUUGGAUAUUUCAUCAAAAACAACCAAAAGGAAAUAAAUUAAAUUAUGAUUAGGGUUUAUACCUUUAAAGCUUUUCUUUUUCUUCCACCAUAGGUUGAUGAAGCAUGGAUAAAACUCCACUCCUCUUCCCUCAAAAGUCACGGCUGUAGCAGCCCCUCACUAUCUCUCUCUCUUAAUAUUUUCUCUCUCUUUUAAGACUUUAAAGAAAAGAAUGUAAUAAACCUCAAAUAGUAAAUGUAAGAGAGAAAAUGUAUAUUUUGCAAAAAUAUAUACAUAUAUCUUCUAUAUCUAAAUAUAAUCUUCCAACAUAUCUCCCAUAUCUCAUCUUUCUUCCUCUUGGAUCUUGUAAUAUCUAGCAAAAUAAUGUGGCUAAGUGAGAGUGUGACACAUAAGGGAGUAUAGAGAUAUGAAUUGAUUUUAUUUAUUUAUUUAUUUUUUUCCCAUGAGGUUAACUCCCCCUUGAAGGGUCGGGUGUCACCCCCUCCCUUUGCCAAAU
rnacentral:lncRNA from 1 species